rnacentral:rRNA from 1 species
UGACCUCGGAUCAGACGUGAUUACCCGCUGAACUUAAGCAUAUCACUAAGCGGAGGAAAAGAAACUAACAAGGAUUCCCUUAGUAACGGCGAGUGAACAGGGAAGAGCCCAGCACCGAAGCCUGUGGCUGUUUGGUCACUAGGCAAUGUGGUGUUCAGGUCGUUCCGCAGAGACACUGCUCCACUCUAAGUCCAGCAAUGAGUACGGCUUUAUGGACAUGGCCCACAGAGGGUGAAAGGCCCGUGGGGGUGGAACCACGAUUGACAGUGUCUCUCUGGUUAGACCUUGGAGUCGGGUUGUUUGUGAAUGCAGCCCAAAGUGGGUGGUAAACUCCAUCCAAGGCUAAAUACAAGCACGAGUCCGAUAGCGAACAAGUACCGUGAGGGAAAGUUGAAAAGUACUUUGAAGAGAGAGUAAACAGUGCGUGAAACCGCUCAGAGGUAAACGGGUGGAGUUGAACUGCAAGCUCUGUGAAUUCAGCUGAUGGGUGUGGCUUGAGCUUGGUCAAAUUGGUCGGACAUUGGGGUCUGCGUAGUAGCAGGUCUCCGCCUUCGGGUGGAGAUGCGCGAUGCGCCUUGUUGUGCUGUGCGCCUCUUUGUUUUCCGGGCCUGCUCGUCAGUGCACUUUCUCAGAGUGGUCACCACGACCGGCAUUGCGGUCUGGCCGUUUCGGUUAAACCGGUCUUGCAUUGUCCUUGUGGCUUUGUUCGGUCGGGAUGGCAGGUAGCUCAUCGAUUGCUCUGUGGUUCGCUGCAGGUGUCUUUGAGUGUAAUCAGCUGACCGUGACGAUCCUGUGCUGUAUGUCGGAGACGGCGGCUUGUGGUGUAUGCGUGCGUGCUGGUCUCGUUGGCGGAUCCGGGUCUGAUUUCCAUGUUGCCUGUGCAAAGCAGGCCUGGGGGUGGCUCGGGUUCGUCCGGUGGACAGUUGCGUGCGUUUCACUUAUCAGGGCCAAUAGUCUGUGGUGUAGUGGUAGACUAUCCACCCGACCCGUCUUGAAACACGGACCAAGGAGAGUAACAUGUGCGCAAGUCAUUGGGCGAAACGAAACCCAAAGGCGCAGUGAAAGUAAAGGCUUGGCUUGUUCAGGCUGAGGUGAGAUCCUGACGUUUCUCAUGCUGGGUACCACCAAGUAUCGAGCGUCAGGCGCAUCACCGGCCCGUCCCAUGACGUAGACACAUAGUCUCCGGACCAGUGCACCGUCGGGGCGGAGCAUGAGCGUACAUGUUGAGACCCGAAAGAUGGUGAACUAUGCUUGCGCAGGUUGAAGCCAGAGGAAACUCUGGUGGAGGACCGCAGCGAUUCUGACGUGCAAAUCGAUCGUCAAACGUGAGUAUAGGGGCGAAAGACUAAUCGAACCAUCUAGUAGCUGGUUCCCUCCGAAGUUUCCCUCAGGA